UGGGGAAUCUUGCGCAAUGGGCGAAAGCCUGACGCAGCCAUGCCGCGUGAAUGAUGAAGGUCUUAGGAUUGUAAAGUUCUUUCGCUCGUGACGAUGAUGACGGUAACGAGAGAAGAAGCCCCGGCUAACUUCGUGCCAGCAGCCGCGGUAAUACGAAGGGGGCUAGCGUUGUUCGGAAUUACUGGGCGUAAAGCGCGCGUAGGCGGUCUUGUAAGUUGGGGGUGAAAUCCCGAGGCUCAACCUCGGAACUGCCUCCAAAACUACAAAUCUGGACCUAAGUAGAGGCAAGUGGAAUUGCGAGUGUAGAGGUGAAAUUCGUAGAUAUUCGCAGGAACACCAGUGGCGAAGGCGACUUGCUGGACUUAUGGUGACGCUGAGACGCGAAAGCGUGGGGAGCAAACAGGAUUAGAUACCCGUGUAGUCCCUGAGCGGGCUGGCAAGGCGCAU
rnacentral:rRNA from 1 species